rnacentral:rRNA from 1 species
UACGGAGGGAGCUAGCGUUGUUCGGAAUUACUGGGCGUAAAGCGCACGUAGGCGGCUUUUUAAGUCAGGGGUGAAAUCCCGGGGCUCAACCCCGGAACUGCCCUUGAAACUGGAGAGCUAGAAUCUUGGAGAGGCGAGUGGAAUUCCGGAGUGAUAGAGGUGAAAUUCGUAGAUAUUCGGAAGAACACCAGUGGCGAAGGCGACUCGCUGGACAAGUAUUGACGCUGAGGUGACGAAAGCGUGGGGAGCAAACAGG